rnacentral:rRNA from 1 species
UACAGAGGUCUCAAGCGUUGUUCGGAUUCAUUGGGCGUAAAGGGUGCGUAGGCGGCGCGGUAAGUCGGGUGUGAAAUCUCGGGGCUUAACUCCGAAACUGCAUUCGAUACUGCCGUGCUUGAGGACUGGAGAGGAGACUGGAAUUUACGGUGUAGCGGUGAAGUGCGUAGAUAUCGUAAGGAAGACCAGUGGCGAAGGCGGGUCUCUGGACAGUUCCUGACGCUGAGGCACGAAGGUCAGGGGAGCAAACGGG